rnacentral:rRNA from 1 species
CCUACGGGGGGCAGCAGUGGGGAACAUUGCACAAUGGGCGCAAGCCUGAUGCAGCCAUGCCGCGUGUAUGAAGAAGGCCCUAGGGUUGUAAAGUACUUUCGGUCGGGAGGAAGGCGUUGAUGCUAAUAUCAUCAACGAUUGACGUUACCGACAGAAGAAGCACCGGCUAACUCCGUGCCAGCAGCCGCGGUAAUACGGAGGGUGCAAGCGUUAAUCGGAAUUACUGGGCGUAAAGCGCACGCAGGCGGUUGAUUAAGUUAGAUGUGAAAUCCCCGGGCUUAACCUGGGAAUGGCAUCUAAGACUGGUCAGCUAGAGUCUUGUAGAGGGGGGUAGAAUUCCAUGUGUAGCGGUGAAUUGCGUGGAGAUGUGGAGGAAUACCGGUGGCGAAGGCGGCCCCCUGGACAAAGACUGACGCUCAGGUGCGAAAGCGUGGGGAGCAAACAGGAUUAGAUACCCUUGUAGUC